CCUACGGGAGGCAGCAGUGAGGAAUAUUGGUCAAUGGGCGCGAGCCUGAACCAGCCAAGUCGCGUGAGGGAUGACGGUCCUACGGAUUGUAAACCUCUUUUGCCGGGGAGCAAGCGUGCGUGCGUGAACGCGCGUCGAGAGUACCCGGAGAAAAAGCAGCGGCAAACUCCGUGCCAGCAGCCGCGGUAAUACUGGGGAUGCGAGCGUAAUACGGAUUUAGUGGGUUUAAAGGGUGCGUAGGCGGGAUGCCAAGUCAGCGGUAAAAAUGAGGUGCUAAACGCCGUCGAGCCGUUGAAACUGGCGUUCUUGAGUGGGCGAGAGGUAUGCGGAAUGCGUGGUGUAGCGGUGAAAUGCAUAGAUAUCACGCAGAACUCCGAUUGCGAAGGCAGCAUACCGGCGCCCUACUGACGCUGAGGCACGAAAGCGUGGGUAGCGAACAGGAUUAGAUACCCGUGUAGUC
rnacentral:rRNA from 1 species